UGGCGGCGUGCCUAAUACAUGCAAGUGGAACGCUUGAUUUUCACCGAAGCUUGCUUCACCGAAAAUCAAGAGUAGCGAACGGGUGAGUAACGCGUGGGUAACCUACCUUUCAGCGGGGGAUAACUAUUGGAAACGAUAGCUAAUACCGCAUAAUAAUGUUGGAUGCAUAUUCGACAUUUGAAAGUACCAAUUGGUACACUGAGAGAUGGACCCGCGUUGUAUUAGCUAGUUGGUAGUGUAAUGGACUACCAAGGCGAUGAUACAUAGCCGACCUGAGAGGGUGAUCGGCCACAUUGGGACUGAGACACGGCCCAAACUCCUACGGGAGGCAGCAGUAGGGAAUCUUCGGCAAUGGACGAAAGUCUGACCGAGCAACGCCGCGUGAGUGAAGAAGGUUUUCGGAUCGUAAAACUCUGUUGUUAGAGAAGAACGUUGCAUAGAGUGGAAAAUUAUGCAAGUGACGGUAUCUAACCAGAAAGGGACGGCUAACUACGUGCCAGCAGCCGCGGUAAUACGUAGGUCCCGAGCGUUGUCCGGAUUUAUUGGGCGUAAAGCGAGCGCAGGUGGUUUAAUAAGUCUGAUGUAAAAGGCAGUGGCUCAACCAUUGUGUGCAUUGGAAACUGUUAGACUUGAGUGCAGUAGAGGAGAGUGGAAUUCCAUGUGUAGCGGUGAAAUGCGUAGAUAUAUGGAGGAACACCGGUGGCGAAAGCGGCUCUCUGGACUGUCACUGACACUGAGGCUCGAAAGCGUGGGUAGCAAACAGGAUUAGAUACCCUGGUAGUCCACGCCGUAAACGAUGAGUGAUGAGUUGUUUGGGGCUAUCCAGCCCUAAGUNGACGCAGCAAACGCAUUAAUCACU
rnacentral:rRNA from 1 species